UGUGCUCAACCUGUUGUCCCACAGAGCUAUUCUUUUAUCCGCUCCCCAUCUUUUAUAUCAUAUAACUUACUUGACUUGGAGACUGUCACAUUCUUCUUUGAAUCUGUGAUCUUCUGCUCCACCUCCCCUCAGAUUUUAUCCCUGCUUGUCCCUAGUUUGUGUAGCCUUUCCCUCUUCCACUCUUGCCCAACUCUGCCUUGCCCCAAAACCUGGAGACAGGGUCUGGAGCACCAGGGACCAGAGAAAUGCUUCCAUAGCAAUCUAUUGAUGGAACCCAGGACCCCAGACUCUCUAAAGUAGUCAUGGUCCAGUAGAAGUAGCACAUACUCUGGGACAAAAGAGCUGGGCUGCACUACUGGCUGAUUUGAAAUGGAGCUUGUGAACACAGAAGUCUGGUCUUGGAAGAGAAGAGCAGAGACAUCAGAACUGAGAUAGCAAAGGACAAGAGCUCCGUGAUGGCGAGAAAGUGAGCACUAAACCCCCGGGGAGGCCUGCGCAUGCCGGAGGCGUUCAGAGGGGCCGGUUUCCAGGCGAGCACCUGUGUUCAUCGCGCCUGUCUGCGUCCAGGACUCUCAAUUACCCAUCUUGAGAAGUCGAGCUUCACCACCAACUUGGGAAAAGAAUUAACGUGGCGACGUUGCCCCUGAUGAAAAUACACUGGCAGGCACAACAUGAGAUUCCAAGCUGUAGAAUUUGAGUCCAGAUCCAGCCAUCUGUAAACAGCAUCAAUAACUCCAUGAAGGUGUAUCGAGCAGGGAUAUCAACUGCUCUGAUGCAGGAUCUGGGCCAACAGCCCAGGCCCUAGUGAUAGGAGGUAUGAUGCCAAUUUGCUGGGACCUCAAAGCCACACCAGAGGUCUGUCCCUAGCCAAGCUCCUCCCCUCUCCCUCUUCCUCACCGGGACCUCCCUUUUGUCGUCUGGAGACUGGUGGCCACCACACCAAGGAGCAUCACUAUACCUUGUGGGUGGCUUGGGAAUUAUGCAGUCCAUCGGGGUCCAUUCAAUCCCAAAGGUUUAUGUAUUUGAAUUCUCAUUAAAAGAGUCACGG